rnacentral:rRNA from 1 species
CCUACGGGAGGCUGCAGUCGAGAAUCUUGGGCAAUGCACGAAAGUGUGACCCAGCGACGCCGCGUGGAGGAUGAAGGCGCUCUGCGUUGUAAACUCCUUUUAGGGGAGAAGAAUACCCUUUAGUGGGUUUGACGGUACCCCCUGAAUAAGCCACGGCUAACUACGUGCCAGCAGCCGCGGUAAUACGUAGGUGGCAAGCGUUGUCCGGAUUUACUGGGCGUAAAGCGUAUGCAGGCGGAUGAGUAAGUAGGAAGUGAAAGGUGGGAGCUCAACUCCCAGACUGCUCCCUAUACUGCUUGUCUUGAGUGCCGGAGAGGAAGAUGGAACGACACGUGUAGCGGUGAAAUGCGUUGAGAUGUGUCGGAACACCAAUGGCGAAAGCAGUCUUCUGGACGGAUACUGACGCUGAGAUACGAAAGCCAAGGGAGCGAACAGGAUUA